CAAAAAUGCUCCCUUUCUCAGCCUCUCUCCUCUCCUCACCAAGGGAAGCCUGGCGGCUCCCUAGCCUGGCGGCGGCGGCGGAUCCCCCAGCCCGGCGGUGGCUCCUCAGCUAGGCGGCGGCGGCGGCUCCCAAAUGGGUGGCGUCGGCUGCUGCUCCCCAGGCCAGCGGCGGCGGUUGCGGCUCCCCGACAGCGGCGGUGGCUCGUUAGCCCGGCGUCGGCUGCUGCUCCCCAGGCCGGCGGAGGUACAUGCCUCUCCCUCAGCCCGCCAGCGGCGGCUGCGGCUCCCUAGGCCGCCGGCGGCGACUCCUUAGCUAGGCGGCGUCGGGUUCUCUACCCAGGCGGCGGCGGCAGCCUCUCUUCUCGUCUUCACCUGAAACGGCAUUGCGCAAGCUCCCGUAUCUUGUGCAGCGGCUCUCCUAGCUUGUUGAAGACACUAGAUCCACUUGAAAUGGCAAAAUCAAAGCCUAGCACAAUUCCUUCUUGGCUCCCUACAGGCACCACCCAUUUGAAGAGAUCGGCUGGAAGGCCAAGAACUAUGAGGUUCAAAGGAUGCACCGAGAAAGGGGGCAAAAUGAGUGGGAGACAUAAAUGCCCAAUUUGCAAGACCUAUGGACAUCAUUGGCAUAAUUGCAAAGAGGGUGAUCCAGCCCAAGUAGCAGCAAUGCUUGCUGAAAGGUAACUUUUUAUGCUAUGUUUUCACUAAUUUCAGUUCAGCUCCUGACAUUCUUGCGAUUUACUCUACUGUUGACGAGGGCCACCAAAGAAGAGAAGGAAGAAAACUAAUCCACCAACAUCAGCGACUAGCAUAGUAGUUGCUCCAAUAGUUGCACCAAUAAUGACAUAUCCCCCAAGCCCACCCGAUCAUUCAGCUGAGAAAACUAGGACAAAUAACAAUAGCUCAACUUCAAGCAAAUCAGCUAGAUCUAGAUCACUCACUGGCUCAAACCAACCUGAAUCUUCCAACAUGAUUGUACCGCUGCCAACAUUUGGAGAGCAAACAACAUCAUUUACACCUAAAAAGGCCAAGUGCAACACAAAGAGAAAGUCACCAUCUCUUGCUGCUCUUGACAGCCCAGCUAUGAGAACCAGGAGCAAAAGGAAUAGCCCUGCAAUGGCCACUAGAAGCAAAAAAAAAAAAAGCUUAUGGACUAAUGUAUGUAUAUUGCUAGCUGAUUUAGUUUCAUUUUGGUAAUGAUAGAUUAGCCUAUGGAGUGGCUAAGUACUGUAGUUUUUUUGUUGAACUUAAGUGACAUGCUACUGUCAAUAUUGUCUGGCUACUUUCUGGUGUCAAAACUGCCGGACCCUUCUGCUACCUAAGUGCUCUAGCAUAUCAUGGUUUAGCCUGCUGACACAUGCACUCAGGCAUCGGGAGGGUGUAUAUGGAGCCAUUUGGCUUCCUGACUCCAAAACCCUUCAACUCGCUGUGCCGAUCCAUUUCCUGCAUUUGGCGCUUGGAGCGAUCCCACCUGGAGCCAAGAAAAUAAGUUUGGUUUUAUUCUCAGGCCACUGAUGAUGGAUGUACAUGUACUGCCUACGUAUGGUUGUUGUUUUACUAAUGUACUCAUAUGUCAAUGGUGGUUAUGGUGUAACUAGUACUUGUUAAUUAAAUUAGUUUUGUCAGCCGGUUGCUAUAUGUUUAAAUGGUACAGUGAUCUGGCCAUAUACAAAGUAUUUGACUUGUUUAAAUGUGUCGUCGUUUGCUGAUAUGAAAAUGGUAAUUUGAUGUAUAUCGUAUUACCAUGAAACUAAUUGCAUAUUUUUAAUGGA